AACGAACGCUGGCGGCAUGCCUAACACAUGCAAGUCGAACGAGACCUUCGGGUCUAGUUGCGCACGGGUGCUUAACGCGUGGGAACCUGCCCUUAGGUUCGGAAUAACUCCCCGUAAGGGGUGCUAAUACCGGAUAAUGUCUUCGGACCAAAGAUUUAUCGCCUUUUGAUGGGCCCGCGUUGGAUUAGCUAGUUGGUAGGGUAAAAGCCUAACAAGGCGACGAUCCAUAGCUGGUAUGAGAGGAUGAUCAGCCACACUGGGACUGAGACACGGCCCAGACUACUACGGGAGGCAGCAGUGGGGAAUAUAGGACAAUGGGCGAAAGCCUGAUCCAGCAAUGCCGCGUGAGUGAUGAAGGCCUGAGGGUUGUAAAGCUCUUUUAACCGGGAUGAUAAUGACAGUACCGGGAGAAUAAGCUCCGGCUAACUCCGUG
rnacentral:rRNA from 1 species